UGGGGAAUUUUGGACAAUGGGGCGCAAAGCCUGAUCCAGCCAUGCCGCGUGUCUGAAGAAGGCCUUCGGGUUGUAAAGGACUUUUGUCAGGGGAAGAAAAGGAUAGGGUUAAUACCCCUGUCUGAUGACGGUACCUGAAGAAUAAGCACCGGCUAACUACGUGCCAGCAGCCGCGGUAAUACGUAGGGUGCGAGCGUUAAUCGGAAUUACUGGGCGUAAAGCGGGCGCAGACGGUUACUUAAGCAGGAUGUGAAAUCCCCGGGCUCAACCUGGGAACUGCGUUCUGAACUGGGUGACUAGAGUGUGUCAGAGGGAGGUAGAAUUCCACGUGUAGCAGUGAAAUGCGUAGAGAUGUGGAGGAAUACCGAUGGCGAAGGCAGCCUCCUGGGAUAACACUGACGUUCAUGCCCGAAAGCGUGGGUAGCAAACAGGAUUAGAUACCCUGGUAGUCCACGCCCUAAACGAUGUCGAUUAGCUGUUGGGCAGCUUGACUGCUUAGUAGCGAAGCUAACGCGUGAAAUCGACCGCCUGGGGAGUACGGUCGCAAGAUUA
rnacentral:rRNA from 1 species